CUGGCCUGAGUGCGAGCAUUUGGCCAAAAUAGUUGUUGGUUCGCAUGCAAAACGUCAAAAUCGCAUAAGCUAAAACAUUUUUAUACCAACGGCGCGUUUUUAAUUUUUUCUACACUACAAAAUACAUAGAGAAAAGCACAGCAUCUUAAGUAGCUGUUAAAUGUAAUCCGAAAUGCAUGUCAAGCCGUCCUUUUUACAAAUCAUCACAAUGAUCACAAUAUAAAAAUAUACAACUAUAACUACGACUACAGCUAAAACUACAACUACAACUAGGACGAAUACUUUUUCAAGCAAAUAUAAAUGUUCAAACGUAAAACUUUUAGCUUUUACUUAUAUAUUUAAUGAGAGUACAAUAAACAUAUACAUACAUACAAACAAUGAAGCGAUAAGUCCGAGGCGUAGCUUGUCUUUGGCUAAAACGAGUGAGAUUCAACCAAAAUGGCCGCCUUGUCUUUGGCCCACCUUUUGCGCGCGCGUGUGAAAUAAAACAAAAA